rnacentral:rRNA from 1 species
GUAGUCCACGCCCUAAACGAUGUCAACUAGUGUCGGGGAAGUUAUUCUUUGGUAACGAAGCUAACGCGUGAAGUUGACCGCCUGGGGAGUACGGCCGCAAGGUUAAAACUCAAAGGAAUUGACGGGGACCCGCACAAGCGGUGGAUUAUGUGGAUUAAUUCGAUGCAACGCGAAAAACCUUACCUACCCUUGACUUGUACGGAACCCCGCAGAGAUGCGGGGGUGCCCGAAAGGGAACCGUAACACAGGUGCUGCAUGGCUGUCGUCAGCUCGUGUCGUGAGAUGUUGGGUUAAGUCCCGCAACGAGCGCAACCCUUGUCAUUAGUUGCCACAUUCAGUUGGGCACUCUAGUGAGACUGCCGGUGACAAACCGGAGGAAGGUGGGGAUGACGUCAAGUCCUCAUGGCCCUUAUGGGUAGGGCUUCACACGUAAUACAAUGGCCGGUACAGAGGGCUGCCAACCCGCAAGGGGGAGCAAAUCCCAGAAAGCCGGUCGUAGUCCGGAUUGUUCUCUGCAACUCGAGAGCAUGAAGUCGGAAUCGCUAGUAAUCGCGGAUCAGCAUGUCGCGGUGAAUACGUUCCCGGGUCUUGUACACACCGCCCGUCACACCAUGGGAGUGGGUUCCACCAGAAGUAGCUAGCCUAGCCGCAAGGA